GAUGGGCAUACCAUGCUGAAUAUACCGGUUAUCGUUUGAUCACUGAAGUCAAUCAUCAUUAGGCGCUUUCAGUACUUGGGUGGUUGACUACCUAGAAAACAACGCGUGCCG